rnacentral:rRNA from 1 species
UACGUAGGGGGCAAGCGUUGUCCGGAAUCAUUGGGCGUAAAGAGCGUGUAGGCGGUCCGGUAAGUCGGCUGUGAAAGUCCAGGGCUCAACCCUGGGAUGCCGGUCGAUACUGCCGGACUAGAGUUCGGAAGAGGCGAGUGGAAUUCCCGGUGUAGCGGUGAAAUGCGCAGAUAUCGGGAGGAACACCAGUGGCGCAAGCGGCCGCCUGGCACUGACCUGACACUGAGCCACGACGGCGUGGGGAGCAAACGGG